rnacentral:rRNA from 1 species
AUGGCGGCGCCCGCGCUCCUCUCCGCACCACCCCCUCCCCCACCAAUGGAAGAGGAUGGUCUCACCUCCCACGUCGCACCAAGCCCAAACCCACCCCCACCCCCGUCGAAGAGCGGUUUCUUGCGUGGGCGGCCGCCCAUUGGGGUGACAUCGGAGUUCGACAGCGAGCGCCAGCUCUUUUCCCACCGCAUCUCCUGCCGCGUCCUCAACGGCCUUGCCAAGCUCCGUCUCCGAGUUCACCACGGGGCCGCGGGAGGGGCCCCGACUCCCGAGGUGGCGCUCAUGGGGCGGAACUUCUCCGCCGUCGUCGACGCCGCCUCCCGCGGCGCCGUGCUGCGAGGAACGGCCGACCUUGCCGGAUCGCUCCACCUUAGUGCGGCGCACAACACGAAGGAGGGACAAGGAGAAGUGGCAGUAACUACUAAUUUGGGAGAUUCACCAUGCAAAAUUGAGUUAUCAUCGCUGGUUCCUCCUGAUGGAUUGCCAAGAGCAACCUUCUUGUUUCCUAACGGGGAAGUUUCAGUUAAGGAGAAGAAGUUGGAUGAGGGUGAGAAAAUUUUGUCAGUAAAUGGUAUAGUGAAGUCUCAUGUUCUGAAUGGAGUUUGCACUGCAUUGUACAAUGAUAAUAUGAUGAAUAUCAAGUAUCGCUAUAAGGAUGAUGAGCUAUCAUUUAUUCCCAGCCUCACUUUACCAUCAAAUUCACUAUCAUUUGCAUUUAAACGCCAGUUAACUCCUUCAGACAAGUUCAGUUACCGGUACCAUUUUGACACAAACUACUGGAGUGCUGUCUAUAAACAAAAGGCCAGUAAGCAUGUCAAAUGGAAAGCAGGUUAUGGGUCGGACGAAAGGCUUGGCUGGGCAUCUGUUUGGGUUGGCGACGCAGGCGGCAAGACAAAGGAAGCCCCCCUGAAGACAAAAGUCCAACUCAUGAUAAAAGUCCCUCAGAACAAUAUACAGAAUUCAACUCUAGUGUUCCGGGUGAAGAAAAGAUGGGAUUUUUAG